UCUGAUUAGCUAGUUGGUGAGGUAAGGCUCACCAAGGCUCCGAUCAGUAGCUGGUUUGAGAGAACGACCAGCCACACUGGAACUGAGACACGGCCCAGACUCCUACGGGAGGCAGCAGUGGGGAAUUUUGGACAAUGGGGGCAACCCUGAUCCAGCCAUGCCGCGUGAGUGAAGAAGGCCUUCGGGUUGUAAAGCUCUUUCAGCCGGAAAGAAAUCGUACAGACUAAUACUCUGUAUGGAUGACGGUACCGGAAGAAGAAGCACCGGCUAACUACGUGCCAGCAGCCGCGGUAAUACGUAGGGUGCGAGCGUUAAUCGGAAUUACUGGGCGUAAAGGGUGCGCAGGCGGUUUUGUAAGUCAGAUGUGAAAUCCCCGGGCUUAACCUGGGAACU
rnacentral:rRNA from 1 species